UGGGACCACGAAAGAAAAGUGCUAAAGUGU
rnacentral:piRNA from 1 species